rnacentral:rRNA from 1 species
UGGGGAAUAUUGGACAAUGGGCGAAAGCCUGAUCCAGCCAUGCCGCGUGUGUGAAGAAGGUCUUCGGAUUGUAAAGCACUUUAAGUUGGGAGGAAGGGCAGUAAGCGAAUACCUUGCUGUUUCGACGUUACCGACAGAAUAAGCACCGGCUAACUCUGUGCCAGCAGCCGCGGUAAUACAGAGGGUGCAAGCGUUAAUCGGAAUUACUGGGCGUAAAGCGCGCGUAGGUGGUUCGUUAAGUUGAAUGUGAAAGCCCCGGGCUCAACCUGGGAACCGCAUUCAAAACUGGCGAGCUUGGGUAGGGCAGAAGGUGGGGGUAUUUCCUGUGUAGCGGUGAAAUGCAUAGAAAUAGGGAGGAACACCAGAGGCGAAAGCGACCAGCUGGGCUCAUACUGACACUGAGGUGCGAAAGCGUGGGGAGCAAACAGG